CGCACAUUUACUCUUAGUGGUAAUCUUUGGUGGGAGGCAGUCAUGGGAGUCAGUAAUGAGUAUGGAGAAACAAAAGAAAUGGGUUUUUUAUCAACUGACGAAAUUUAUUGCCCUCAAAGAAAUUCAACCUGCUCAAAUAAUGAAAAUUUUGCGUCAAAGACCCAACAACACUCAAUUCUCGACGAUAUAAGCCAAGAGCAGUUGACCAGAAAAACCAUUCAAUAUUACUCCAAAGGUCCGUGGAUCUCAAAGAUGAUUGUAACCUAUUAUUUAAACGAAAGAAAAGUCACAGAAGAAGUAAGUGGUGAUGGAGAGAGAGUGAAUAUUUCUGCAAGCGCAACAAAUGUCGAAGUGAGAUUUAAAGUUAUGCGUCCAUUUUGGGGCGACGUCAUGAAGUACGACCGUUUUACAAAUACCUGGUCGAAACCGUAUACACCUCAUAUCUUCCGAUACGAGAAAGCCACUGGUCGCACAUUUACUCUUAAUGGUAAUCUUUGGUGGGAGGCAGUUAUGAGAGUAACUGAUGAAUACCACGAGGAAACAAAUGAAAUGGGCGAAAUUUAGAAAGGUAUUGCCAGCGGAAGCAAUGAUUGGGAAACGUUCUGUUAACAUAGAACAAUUAAGUCAUUGCUGAACUAAAUGAUAAUUGACCCUACCUGAGAUUAAGUGUACUUGUAAAUACAACGUAUAAAUCAUCAUUAUUCAAAUGGUGGAGACAGCAAUGGCUCUCACAAAAUGAUUUUUAAGAAAAUAGUUUUCUUUGGACAUUUAUCUUAUACCAGUAUGCUUUUGUGCAUAAUGUAAUCAUUAAAUAGUAAUUUUUCAUUGUUCUUCGAAA